rnacentral:rRNA from 1 species
UACGUAGGUGGCAAGCGUUGUCCGGAAUUAUUGGGUUUAAAGGGUGCGUAGGCGGCCUAUUAAGUCAGGGGUGAAAGACGGUAGCUUAACUAUCGCAGUGCCCUUGAUACUGAUGGGCUUGAAUGUACUUGAGGUAGGCGGAAUGUGACAAGUAGCGGUGAAAUGCAUAGAUAUGUCACAGAACACCAAUUGCGAAGGCAGCUUACUAAAGUAUGAUUGACGCUGAGGCACGAAAGCGUGGGGAUCAAACAGG